UCUAACGUAGAAACGUGCGCAGAAAUCGAUUUACGACAGGGUUUACGUGUGAUUCAUCAAACAUUCGUAUGCCGCCAAUCUCAUCAUACGAAUGAUCGUACCUACAAAUGUGGAGGCUGAAAUCGGUCGUAAUUUACAUAUAACGCCCCUAUAAAUUCAGGGUGUAGACGCCUCGCCCCUAGAUUUUGCGACACGGAGAAACGUAAUCCGGCCAAAAUUAGGAUUUUUUUUCUGAUUUAGGAAUUAAAAUUUAACCUUGGAAAGCGGAAUCAAAGGAAGUAAAAAAAAAAAUUUUUUGAAAGAGAUCGUUGCGGUCAACAGCGUUGGUGUAGUGAACCGAUCUCCAGCUGAGGUGAAGAAAAAAUGGUCUGUUACGGAGGAGACAGAUGCAUGUUUCUAAAGCAGGAUAAAGGUCUGUCAGAGGCAGGACCAGCGGUCUUCAGGCCCCACUGGAACCUGCCACACAAAGCAAGGCAACCUGUGACCCAGUGCGCAUCUUCCAUCACAUCGAACAUAGCAUAGUCACAAUAAUGUGAAUAAG